ACGGGUGAGUAACACGUGGGAACGUACCCUUUGGUUCGGAAUAACGCUGGGAAACUAGCGCUAAUACCGGAUACGCCCUUUUGGGGAAAGGCUUGCUGCCGAAGGAUCGGCCCGCGUCUGAUUAGCUAGUUGGUGGGGUAACGGCCUACCAAGGCGACGAUCAGUAGCUGGUCUGAGAGGAUGAUCAGCCACACUGGGACUGAGACACGGCCCAGACUCCUACGGGAGGCAGCAGUGGGGAAUAUUGGACAAUGGGCGCAAGCCUGAUCCAGCCAUGCCGCGUGAGUGAUGAAGGCCUUAGGGUUGUAAAGCUCUUUUGUCCGGGACGAUGAUGACGGUACCGGAAGAAUAAGCCCCGGCUAACUUCGUGCCAGCAGCCGCGGUAAUACGAAGGGGGCUAGCGUUGCUCGGAAUCACUGGGCGUAAAGGGCGCGUAGGCGGCCAUUCAAGUCGGGGGUGAAAGCCUGUGGCUCAACCACAGAAUUGCCUUCGAUACUGUUUGGCUUGAGUAUGGUAGAGGUCGGUGGAACUGCGAGUGUAGAGGUGAAAUUCGUAGA
rnacentral:rRNA from 1 species